UACAGAGGUCUCAACCGUUGUUCGGAUUCAUUGGGCGUAAAGGGUGCGUAGGCUGCGGAGUAAGUCAGGUGUGAAAUCUCGGGGCUCAACCCCGAAACUGCACUUGAUACUGCUUCGCUCGAGUACUGGAGAGGAGACUGGAAUUUACGGUGUAGCAGUGAAAUGCGCAGAUAUCAGGAGGAACACCGGUGGCGAAGGCGGAUCUCUGGGCCUUACCUGACGCUCAGGUGCGAAAGCUAGGGGAGCGAACAGG
rnacentral:rRNA from 1 species